CAUGUCUAGCUUGCUAGAAGAUGUCGAGUGGCGGACGGGUGAGUAAUGCUUGGGAACUUGCCUUUGCGAGGGGGAUAACAGUUGGAAACGACUGCUAAUACCGCAUAAUGUCUACGGACCAAACGGGGCUUAGGCUCCGGCGCAAAGAGAGGCCCAAGUGAGAUUAGCUAGUUGGUGAGGUAAGAGCUCACCAAGGCAACGAUCUCUAGCUGUUCUGAGAGGAAGAUCAGCCACACUGGGACUGUGACACGGCCCAGACUCCUACGGGAGGCAGCAGUGGGGAAUAUUGCACAAUGGGGGAAACCCUGAUGCAGCCAUGCCGCGUGUGUGAAGAAGGCCUUCGGGUUGUAAGGCACUUUCAGUUGUGAGGAAAAGUUGGUAGUUAAUACCUGCCAGCCGUGACGUCAGCAACAGAAGAAGCACCGGCUAACUCCGUGCCAGCAGCCGCGGUAAUACGGAGGGUGCAAGCGUUAAUCGGAAUUACUGGGCGUAAAGCGCACGCAGGCGGUUUGUUAAGCUAGAUGUGAAAGCCCCGGGCUCAACCUGGGACGGUCAUUUAGAACUGGCAGACUAGAGUCUCGGAGAGGGGAGUGGAAUUCCAGGUGUAGCGGUGAAAUGCGUAGAUAUCUGGAGGAACAUCAGUGGCGAAGGCGACUCUCUGGCCAAAGACUGACGCUCAGGUGCGAAAGUGUGGGUAGCGAACAGGAUUGGAUACCCUGGUAGUCCACACCGUAAACGCUGUCUACUAGCUGUUUGUGGAUUUAAUCCGUGAGUAGCGAAGCUAACUCGCUAAGUAGACCGCCUGGGGAGUACGGCCGCAAGGGUUAAAACUCAAAUGAAUUGACGGGGGCCCGCACAAGCGGUGGAGCAUGUGGUUUAAUUCGAUGCAACGCGAAGAACCU
rnacentral:rRNA from 1 species